GACGAACGCUGGCGGCGUGCUUAACACAUGCAAGUCGAACGAAGUGGCGAACGGGUGAGUAACGCGUAAUCAACCUGCCCUUCAGAGGGGGACAACAGUUGGAAACGACUGCUAAUACCGCAUACUGAAGGAGGGGAUUGCGUCUGAUUAGCUAGUUGGAGGGGUAACGGCCCACCAAGGCGAUGAUCAGUAGCGGGUCUGAGGGGAUGAACGGCCACAUGGGGACUGAGACAGGGCCCAGACUACAACGGGAGGAAGCAGUGGGGAAUCUUCCGCAAUGGACGAAAGUCUGACGGAGCAACACCGCGGUAAUAC
rnacentral:rRNA from 1 species